rnacentral:rRNA from 2 species
UGCAAGUCGAACGAACUCUGGUAUUGAUUGGUGCUUGCAUCAUGAUUUACAUUUGAGUGAGUGGCGAACUGGUGAGUAACACGUGGGAAACCUGCCCAGAAGCGGGGGAUAACACCUGGAAACAGAUGCUAAUACCGCAUAACAACUUGGACCGCAUGGUCCGAGCUUGAAAGAUGGCUUUGGCUAUCACUUUUGGAUGGUCCCGCGGCGUAUUAGCUAGAUGGUGGGGUAACGGCUCACCAUGGCAAUGAUACGUAGCCGACCUGAGAGGGUAAUCGGCCACAUUGGGACUGAGACACGGCCCAAACUCCUACGGGAGGCAGCAGUAGGGAAUCUUCCACAAUGGACGAAAGUCUGAUGGAGCAACGCCGCGUGAGUGAAGAAGGGUUUCGGCUCGUAAAACUCUGUUGUUAAAGAAGAACAUAUCUGAGAGUAACUGUUCAGGUAUUGACGGUAUUUAACCAGAAAGCCACGGCUAACUACGUGCCAGCAGCCGCGGUAAUACGUAGGUGGCAAGCGUUGUCCGGAUUUAUUGGGCGUAAAGCGAGCGCAGGCGGUUUUUUAAGUCUGAUGUGAAAGCCUUCGGCUCAACCGAAGAAGUGCAUCGGAAACUGGGAAACUUGAGUGCAGAAGAGGACAGUGGAACUCCAUGUGUAGCGGUGAAAUGCGUAGAUAUAUGGAAGAACACCAGUGGCGAAGGCGGCUGUCUGGUCUGUAACUGACGCUGAGGCUCGAAAGUAUGGGUAGCAAA